rnacentral:rRNA from 1 species
UCGGCGGGCUUGCCCGCCGGUGGACAUACCAAACCCUUUGUAGUAGCAGUAUCUUCAGUAAAAAACAAAUAUUAAAACUUUCAACAACGGAUCUCUUGGUUCUGGCAUCGAUGAAGAACGCAGCGAAAUGCGAUAAGUAGUGUGAAUUGCAGAAUUCAGUGAAUCAUCGAAUCUUUGAACGCACAUUGCGCCCUUCGGUAUUCCGUUGGGCAUGCCUGUUCGAGCGUCAUUUAAACCUUCAAGCUCUGCUUGGUGUUGGGUGUUUGUUCCGCCUCUGCGCGUGGACUCGCCUCAAAUUCAUUGGCAGCCGGUAAGUUGGCUUCGUGCGCAGCACAUUGCGUGUCGAUUCCAGCCUGCCCUCUCCCAUUAAGCCUCUUUUUUACUUUGACCUCGGAUCAGGUAGGGAUACCCGCUGAACUUAAGCAUAUCAUAGGCCCGGAGGAAGAUUCUGCAGGCUCUC